CCAGACUCCUACGGGAGGCAGCAGUGAGGAAUAUUGGUCAAUGGACGAGAGUCUGAACCAGCCAAGUAGCGUGAAGGAUGACUGCCCUAUGGGUUGUAAACUUCUUUUAUAAAGGAAUAAAACGAGGCACGUGUGCCUUUUUGCAUGUACUUUAUGAAUAAGGAUCGGCUAACUCCGUGCCAGCAGCCGCGGUAAUACGGAGGAUCCGAGCGUUAUCCGGAUUUAUUGGGUUUAAAGGGAGCGUAGAUGGGUUGUUAAGUCAGUUGUGAAAGUUUGCGGCGCGACCGUAAAAUUGCAAUUGAUACUGGCAGUCUUGGGUACAGUUGAGGUAGGCGGAAUUCGUGGUGUAGCGGUGAAAUGCUUAGAUAUCACGAAGAACUCCGAUUGCGAAGGCAGUGCACUGGACUGCAACUGACACUGAGGCUCGAAAGUGUGGGUAUCAAACAGGAUUAGAGACCCCCGUACCC
rnacentral:rRNA from 1 species